rnacentral:rRNA from 1 species
AAUAAAUAACAAUAUAGGGCUCUUAUGGGUCUUAUAAUUGGAAUGAGUACAAUUUAAAUCCCUUAACGAGGAUCAAUUGGAGGGCAAGUCUGGUGAACUUCAGUUCCGCCGUAUCAAUUACCGGCUUCUGACGCCAGAMAUAGUAGGAGUUGUGGCACAAUGCACAUCUUAUGCCUGCUAGUCGAGUCUACAAAGUAGUUUUGGGUGUAGUCCGGCAAGGUAACCUGGUACGGGGAAACCUAAGGCUAAUGCAAAUUAGCUAUGGYAAUCCCGUGKCGAGCCGAUGUUCAGUAAUGUUCAUCAAUGGCCGUUGUAACGCGCGCAAAGGUACCGGUUAGGUGUAAAUACUUGACUCAAGGGACGUGCUAUUCCCACCGGAAACGGUGCUUACAACUGGAGCUCCCAAAGAGUAAAGGUCGUAAGGAACAAUGACUCAGGAAGAAAUAGCUGAGUAUGUCAAGUUCGGWAUUCAAUAUUGUAAAGGCCAGCAGCCGCGGUAAUUCCAGCUCCAAUAGCGUAUAUUAAAGUUGUUGCCGUUAAAAAGCUCGUAGUCGAACUUCGGCCUUUGCCGCCCGGUCCGCCUAUUUGGGUGUGUACUGGAGCGGUGGAGGCUUACCUCGUGGUGAGCAAUCAUCCCCUUUACUGGGAGUGGYUGGGAACCAUGAUUUWUACUUUGAAAAAAUUAGAGUGUUCAAAGCAGGCUUAUGCCCGAAUACAUUAGCAUGGAAUAAUAAAAUAGGACGUGCGRYUCUAUUUUGUUGGUUUCUAGGAUCGCCGUAAUGAUUAAUAGGGAUAGUUGGGGGCAUUCGUAUUCAAUUGCUAGAGGUGAAAUUCUUGGAUUUAUUGAAGACGAACUACUGCGAAAGCAUUUGCCAAGGAUGWUUUCAUUGAUCAAGAACGAAGGUUAGGGGAUCGAAAACGAUCAGAUACCGUUGUAGUCUUAACAGUAAACGAUGCCGACUAGSGAUCGGACGAGGAUUUUUAAUGACUC